rnacentral:rRNA from 1 species
CCUACGGGAGGCAGCAGUGAGGAAUAUUGGUCAAUGGCCGUAAGGCUGAACCAGCCAAGUCGCGUGAAGGAAGAAGGAUCUAUGGUUUGUAAACGUCUGUUAGAGGGGAAUAAAGGUAUCCACGUGUGGAUAUUUGCAUGUACCCUAUGAAGAAGCAUCGGCUAACUCCGUGCCAGCAGCCGCGGUAAUACGGAGGAUGCGAGCGUUAUCCGGAUUUAUUGGGUUUAAAGGGUGCGUAGGUUGUUUUUUAAGUCAGCGGGGAAAGUUUGUGGCUCAACCAUAAAAUUGCCGUUGAAACUGGCAGCCUUGCGUGUGUUUGAGGUAGGCGGAAUGCGUUGUGUAGCGG